UUGACCUAAUAUUGUUUUUAUACUGCUACUUAAAUUAAUACAUUGAUAGCUUUUUAAAUCGUAACUAUUAUAUAUUAAUAACAUAAAUAUCAAACUUAUUUGUAUCCCUCAAUGAACCCCUGAUUGUGGAGAAAGUGUUCCAUGAUGAAAUUGACAUUGCACAAAUUAUAGAAAUCAACGACAACGGCAGCCCGCAAUGAGAACGGUUUUAAUCUUUUGCUGACGACAACUUCAAAAUCUACUCAGGACCAGGAUUCUUUAAGAGUUGCAGCCCUUAACACAAAUACAGUUCAUGAUAGGUGAUCUGGGUUACUUGUAUUCUCCAGACUUAGAUUGCAGCAACAGUAUUAAGAAUUCCAAGAGUAUGAUGCGGUUUAUGCAUAACAGGAUUUUAUCAUUGAAUCAACAUCUUACAAGGAAAUCACAUACAAAUGUAUGAAGAGAUCAAUGGGUACUAAGAGCAAUUAUAUGCAGGAGAGAACUUUUAAACAAUACUUCAAUGUAACAGACAUACAGUGGUGUAUUAAAGAGAUCAAAAGAACCUGGAAUAACUUGUCAUGAGUGUAUAUUUCUUUCAACCACAUGCUCUUUAAAGUCUCAAAAUAGAAAAUUUAGUUUUAAAUGAAAUAUAAAAGUACAAAACAUUGAAAUAACAAGAAUUUUUACAAACUUUGAGUCCAUUUCAUGUUGCGGGACAUGUAGAAAGUGUAUGCAUUAACCAUUUAUGUAGCUCCAUAAAGGGGGGUCUCUCCCCCAUAAAAAAAACGCCUAUGAAUCCGACAGAAUCCCAUCGAUAAAAAACACCAAACAAA